rnacentral:rRNA from 1 species
GUCUACGGCCACGGCACCCUGAACAUGCCCGAUCCCAUCUGAUCUCGGAAGCUAAGCAGGGUCGGGCCUGGUUAGCACUUGGAUGGGAGACCGCCUAGGAAGACCAGGGGCUGCAGGCG